GGAAUAUUGGUCAAUGGGUGAGAGCCUGACCCAGCCAUGCCGCGUGCAGGAAGACGGCCUUCUGGGUUGUAAACUGCUUUUACCAGGGGAUAAAACGCCCUUGCGAGGUUAAUUGAAGUUACCUGGGGAAUAACCACCGGCUAACUACGUGCCAGCACCCGCGGUAAUACGUAGGGUGCAAGCGUUUUCCGGAUUUAUUGGGUUUAAAGGGUGCGUAGGCGGGCUAUUAAGUCAGUGGUGAAAUCCAACAGCUCAACUGUUGAUGUGCCAUUGAUACUGGUAGCCUUGAGUACAGAUGAGGUAGGCGGAAUUGACAGUGUAGCGGUGAAAUGCAUAGAUAUUGUCAAGAACUCCGAUAGCGAAGGCAGCUUACUGGGCUGUAACUGACGCUGAUGCACGAAAGUGUGGGGAUCA
rnacentral:rRNA from 1 species